UCUCUUCAGUUUUCACUUACUCACCAGUCACCUUAGCUCUUCCGCCGCCCUCUUCGGCUCUUCCUCAUCGCCUCUCCGUCACCUUCCUCAUCGCCUCAGCCUCUUCAUCACCUUCCUCUUCGUCACCUUCCUCUUCGUCACUGGCAAAGAUUUGGCUUCUCGAGGUAGAGAGUUUGCUCAAGGGAGUGAAGGGACUACUAUAUAAUACUAUCCCUGUCAUCAAGGUCUCCAGCAAGGAUCAGAUCCAUGCCCUCAACGAGAUGGAAGGUUCAAGUGAGUACUAGAAGCAAAUCAUAGCAAUUUGGCAAAGAAGUGGUCAGGGAGUUAGCAUUGCUCGCAUCAUCCUUUUCAAAGACUUUGUGCAAUUGUGAAAUUUUGCCUCAUCAGACCACCUUCUGCUGCAACGAAAACUACUUAAUUACACAUACAUUGUCUUGAAAGUCGACUCGAGUCAGAAGCAGAUUCGGUUGGGUGGCUAGUAACUCUGCAACAAUGUUUGGUAUACUCGAGUAUUACCACGAAGUUUGGUGGAGAACUAGCCAGUGAGUACAAUGCAGUGAAAUCAAUCAAUGAAUGACAAUGAACACUGAAGGAGUUUUCACUGUUAAAUAUUUUCUAAUGACGGAGGAAUAAGGGAAACGGUCGGCAACUGAAUGACUGAAUGAAUGGCUCCAAGAAUGGAGGCUGGAGCAAGUAGGCAUGAACUAGGGUGUACAACUUUCAUGUACUUGUACCUUUGUAAAUGAGAGAUAUUUGGAAUCUUUGGAAAUGUAAUCCUAUGUUUUAUUCUUGGAUUGUAAAUUAAGUUUGAAUUGUUGGUUGGAAAGGAAACCUUUUAUGUUAAUUUCAAAGCUUGAAUGACUAUUUCAAGAACAUUAGUGAAGGAGUUCUGGCGAAAAUUGGGCAGGUGGUCCGCUAAACUCUUGGGUAAGCCUUAGGAGAAGGUGGGGUCGUCACAGAUUCACUAGUGUGAUGACAAGAAUUUCACAACCAGGUGAAUAUUCACUUUGGUGCAAUCUCAUGGAUUUCUAAGAAGCAAAUUGUGAUUGAUCACUCCAUCAUGG